rnacentral:rRNA from 1 species
GACGGGACCCGCACAAGCGGUGGAUGAUGUGGUUUAAUUCGAUGCAACGCGAAAACCUUACCCACCUUUGACAUGGCAGGAAUCCCGAAGAGAUUUGGGAGUGCUCGAAAGAGAACCUGCACACAGGUGCUGCAUGGCUGUCGUCAGCUCGUGUCGUGAGAUGUUGGGUUAAGUCCCGCAACGAGCGCAACCCUUGUCAUUAGUUGCUACAUUCAGUUGGGCACUCUAAUGAGACUGCCGGUGACAAACCGGAGGAAGGUGGGGAUGACGUCAAGUCCUCAUGGCCCUUAUAGGUGGGGCUACACACGUCAUACAAUGGUCGGUACAGAGGGUUGCCAACCCGCGAGGGGGAGCUAAUCCCACAAAGCCGAUCGUAGUCCGGAUCGCAGUCUGCAACUCGACUGCGUGAAGUCGGAAUCGCUAGUAAUCGUGGAUCAGCAUGUCACGGUGAAUACGUUCCCGGGUCUU